CAUCUAAGAAACAGAAAGCAUGGAUGUCCCGGAAGGCGUUUUCCAGCAAAGACACACCAACAAGAAGCAUCUCUCCUCUCCCUGUGAAUGUAAAUUCAGGAUGUCAAAGAACCAGCAAGAUACAGCUUUCCUGGUAGCUAGUCAGUGUGCCUUAGCCUUACAAAGGCAGGGCCUCUGGAGGUCUGAUGCUGUGACCACUUCCAGUGGAGAUGAGCUGACUGACUCGGCAGGAGGCUGCGUACCAAAAAGGGAGGGUGAAAUGUGCUGCCUGCCAAAGCAGCAGCUGGCGAGCAACAAACAGGAAUACUCCUGCGACAGUUCUCCUUACGGGUUCAACUAA
rnacentral:lncRNA from 1 species